GGUUAAGCGACUAAGCGUACACGGUGGAUGCCCUGGCAGUCAGAGGCGAUGAAGGACGUGCUAAUCUGCGAUAAGCGUCGGUAAGGUGAUAUGAACCGUUAUAACCGGCGAUUUCCGAAUGGGGAAACCCAGUGUGUUUCGACACACUAUCAUUAACUGAAUCCAUAGGUUAAUGAGGCGAACCGGGGGAACUGAAACAUCUAAGUACCCCGAGGAAAAGAAAUCAACCGAGAUUCCCCCAGUAGCGGCGAGCGAACGGGGAGGAGCCCAGAGCCUGAAUCAGUGUGUGUGUUAGUGGAAGCGUCUGGAAAGGCGCGCGAUACAGGGUGACAGCCCCGUACACAAAAAUGCACAUAUUGUGAGCUCGAUGAGUAGGGCGGGACACGUGGUAUCCUGUCUGAAUAUGGGGGGACCAUCCUCCAAGGCUAAAUACUCCUGACUGACCGAUAGUGAACCAGUACCGUGAGGGAAAGGCGAAAAGAACCCCGGCGAGGGGAGUGAAAAAGAACCUGAAACCGUGUACGUACAAGCAGUGGGAGCACGCUUAGGCGUGUGACUGCGUACCUUUUGUAUAAUGGGUCAGCGACUUAUAUUCUGUAGCAAGGUUAACCGAAUAGGGGAGCCGAAGGGAAACCGAGUCUUAACUGGGCGUUAAGUUGCAGGGUAUAGACCCGAAACCCGGUGAUCUAGCCAUGGGCAGGUUGAAGGUUGGGUAACACUAACUGGAGGACCGAACCGACUAAUGUUGAAAAAUUAGCGGAUGACUUGUGGCUGGGGGUGAAAGGCCAAUCAAACCGGGAGAUAGCUGGUUCUCCCCGAAAGCUAUUUAGGUAGCGCCUCGUGAAUUCAUCUCCGGGGGUAGAGCACUGUUUCGGCAAGGGGGUCAUCCCGACUUACCAACCCGAUGCAAACUGCGAAUACCGGAGAAUGUUAUCACGGGAGACACACGGCGGGUGCUAACGUCCGUCGUGAAGAGGGAAACAACCCAGACCGCCAGCUAAGGUCCCAAAGUCAUGGUUAAGUGGGAAACGAUGUGGGAAGGCCCAGACAGCCAGGAUGUUGGCUUAGAAGCAGCCAUCAUUUAAAGAAAGCGUAAUAGCUCACUGGUCGAGUCGGCCUGCGCGGAAGAUGUAACGGGGCUAAACCAUGCACCGAAGCUGCGGCAGCGACGCUGAUGCGUUGUUGGGUAGGGGAGCGUUCUGUAAGCCUGCGAAGGUGUGCUGUGAGGCAUGCUGGAGGUAUCAGAAGUGCGAAUGCUGACAUAAGUAACGAUAAAGCGGGUGAAAAGCCCGCUCGCCGGAAGACCAAGGGUUCCUGUCCAACGUUAAUCGGGGCAGGGUGAGUCGACCCCUAAGGCGAGGCCGAAAGGCGUAGUCGAUGGGAAACAGGUUAAUAUUCCUGUACUUGGUGUUACUGCGAAGGGGGGACGGAGAAGGCUAUGUUGGCCGGGCGACGGUUGUCCCGGUUUAAGCGUGUAGGCUGGUUUUCCAGGCAAAUCCGGAAAAUCAAGGCUGAGGCGUGAUGACGAGGCACUACGGUGCUGAAGCAACAAAUGCCCUGCUUCCAGGAAAAGCCUCUAAGCAUCAGGUAACAUCAAAUCGUACCCCAAACCGACACAGGUGGUCAGGUAGAGAAUACCAAGGCGCUUGAGAGAACUCGGGUGAAGGAACUAGGCAAAAUGGUGCCGUAACUUCGGGAGAAGGCACGCUGAUAUGUAGGUGAGGUCCCUCGCGGAUGGAGCUGAAAUCAGUCGAAGAUACCAGCUGGCUGCAACUGUUUAUUAAAAACACAGCACUGUGCAAACACGAAAGUGGACGUAUACGGUGUGACGCCUGCCCGGUGCCGGAAGGUUAAUUGAUGGGGUUAGCGCAAGCGAAGCUCUUGAUCGAAGCCCCGGUAAACGGCGGCCGUAACUAUAACGGUCCUAAGGUAGCGAAAUUCCUUGUCGGGUAAGUUCCGACCUGCACGAAUGGCGUAAUGAUGGCCAGGCUGUCUCCACCCGAGACUCAGUGAAAUUGAACUCGCUGUGAAGAUGCAGUGUACCCGCGGCAAGACGGAAAGACCCCGUGAACCUUUACUAUAGCUUGACACUGAACAUUGAGCCUUGAUGUGUAGGAUAGGUGGGAGGCUUAGAAGUGUGGACGCCAGUCUGCAUGGAGCCGACCUUGAAAUACCACCCUUUAAUGUUUGAUGUUCUAACGUUGACCCGUAAUCCGGGUUGCGGACAGUGUCUGGUGGGUAGUUUGACUGGGGCGGUCUCCUCCUAAAGAGUAACGGAGGAGCACGAAGGUUGGCUAAUCCUGGUCGGACAUCAGGAGGUUAGUGCAAUGGCAUAAGCCAGCUUGACUGCGAGCGUGACGGCGCGAGCAGGUGCGAAAGCAGGUCAUAGUGAUCCGGUGGUUCUGAAUGGAAGGGCCAUCGCUCAACGGAUAAAAGGUACUCCGGGGAUAACAGGCUGAUACCGCCCAAGAGUUCAUAUCGACGGCGGUGUUUGGCACCUCGAUGUCGGCUCAUCACAUCCUGGGGCUGAAGUAGGUCCCAAGGGUAUGGCUGUUCGCCAUUUAAAGUGGUACGCGAGCUGGGUUUAGAACGUCGUGAGACAGUUCGGUCCCUAUCUGCCGUGGGCGCUGGAGAACUGAGGGGGGCUGCUCCUAGUACGAGAGGACCGGAGUGGACGCAUCACUGGUGUUCGGGUUGUCAUGCCAAUGGCACUGCCCGGUAGCUAAAUGCGGAAGAGAUAAGUGCUGAAAGCAUCUAAGCACGAAACUUGCCCCGAGAUGAGUUCUCCCUGACUCCUUGAGAGUCCUGAAGGAACGUUGAAGACGACGACGUUGAUAGGCCGGGUGUGUAAGCGCAGCGAUGCGUUGAGCUAACCGGUACUAAUGAACCGUGAGGCUUAACCUU
rnacentral:rRNA from 1 species